rnacentral:siRNA from 1 species
UAUAUGAUUACUGCCUUUAUA